ensembl:lncRNA novel transcript
GUAUCCCAUCACCCAAUUGGUGAGCUUAGUACAUGAGUCAGAAAUAAUAGAUCGUGUCCUCACCCUGCAUCUCUCUGGCCACCUCUGCUUCCAGCUUCUACCUUUAAGGACCCUUGUGAUGACAUUGGGACCAGCUUCAUUUCUCCAAAUGUCCUCCUCUCAUACCUCUCCUUGCACAUCAAGCUGCUCACCCUUUGUGCUUUUGCACAUGCUGUUUGAUUAUGAAACUCCAUGACCCUCCUCCUCAUGAUUCACUUGACUGACUAUUCAACGCUCAGUUCAGGUGGCUCUUCCUUCAGAAAGCCUUUUUCCAUCUACUGUCCUACUGCCCCUCCCAAGUUAAGAGCAGGUGCUGCAAACGGACUGCAUUUGUUGGGGUUGCUCAGCAGGAAAUUGGGGGGGCAGUGAGUGACUCACCAAAACUGAGGGAUACGAAAGGACAAUAGAAUAACAACAGAGAAAAACAUGAAGACAGAAAGGUGUGUGGACUUGUUUUUGCCCACUCUUUCAUUGAUGGUACAGCACUUUAAAGGCCCUCGCUUUAGGCGAUGGCUCCUUUCAUAACUUCCUAACUUUCAGGACCUGAAGGACUCAUCUCCUAUGCCUGUGUGUGUCACUAGGCUUUUGAGACAGCUUUAGAAAGGAAGGAAAUACUGUCGUAAACUACAACAUGAAUGAACCUUGAAGACAUUAUGCUAAGUGAAAUAAGCCUGUCACAGAAAAAAAAAUACGAAAGAGAGAGAGAAGAAGGAAGGAAGGAAGGGAGGGAAGAGAGAGAAGAAGGAAGGAAGGAAGGAAGAGAAAUUGGAAUGACUGACAAUGUAUUCUUCAGCACGGCCAGGUUCCAUGCCACCACUGGACUCUGUACAUGGACUCAUGAUCUGUUUUAAUAAUCUGGGAUUUACCUUAAUUGUUGAGUAUUCUGCUAUGCCUUCAGACUUUUCUCCAGAGUGAAAAAUGAAUUACGAUGAUCCAGACAAGAGCUACUGAUAUGCUGACUCGGCUCCAUAAAAAUCACUCAGUUUAGUAAAACAAUUAUUUCCUAGCCCAAUAUAGACAAAAUAAUUUCCUUGUUAGUUGUCUAGAGUUGUAUUAUUUUUUUAACCAGUUGUGAGCAACAUCCUUUUAGACAUAUUACCUUAUGUGAUUGACGUGGAAUUUCAACAACACUUUUAUGAGUAUGCUGCCAAUUUGCACCUAUUUCAAUAGAUUUUUCCAGCAACAUGUAGGCAUGAAUGUGCUCAUGGCCUUUCUUAAAUGAUUAAUUGAAAGGUUCUAAAGUCUUUUUUCAAGACUAGCCAAC